AUUCCUAAAAAGGAAAUGGGAAAUAUCGAUAAAACCCAAGAAAGAACAACAAUGAUUAUGGUCGUCGCAACCAAGUCAGGGUUUGGGGUCGAUUACGCAAGGGGAAGGUAUUAGCACCCCUCACGUCUAUUGUACUCAACGGGAACUAUUAGGUUAAUUGUGUGUGUUAGUGUUAGCUUGAAAUAUUAGGCUUCUCAAGUUAUUAUGAGGGAAAGAAUAAUAGGAUCAAAAUAAAAGAGAACAUGUUUUUGGAUUUUUUUGCAACGAAUGAGACUAAACCUAAGUUUUUUAUUAAUGGGCCUGAUAAGAUUUACAAAUCCUGCUCCUACGUAUCUCCGGGUGCAAUAGAGAACUCAAGACUUACGUAGUUAUGGAUAGAAAAUGUUUAUUUCUUGAUCUAUUUUAGCGAAAACUAUCUUGUAUUAAUCGACGAGAAACAUUGUUUUACCCAAAACAUGUGAGGAAUGGACAUUUACAUCAAAUCGAAUGGAUUUAUAAAUCAAAAUUCGGAAAUGUCACUUAUCUCAACUCAACAAUUAUGUAACAACAACAACAAGUAUAUAUGUAACAGCUUAAACCAAAAAUGUAUAUAUAUGAAAAACUCAACACUGAAAGCAAGUAUAUAUAUGUAUAAAUACAAAGCAACAAUAAACUUAUAUAUAAAACUCUAAACCGAAAAAGAAAGAAAAAUUAUAUAUGUGAACAAUCUAAGCAAAGUAUGUUUAUAUAUAAAUCAAAACAAAAUCAAUAUUUAUUUAUAUAUAAAAAGAACUAUAAUAAAAUAACAAUAAUAGAAAAGGAAAAAAUAAAUAUAAAAAAAGAUUAAAAGAAUAAAUGGUUCUUUGUGAGAAGGAGUAUUAUUGUGUNACCGAAAAAGAAAGAAAAAUUAUAUAUGUGAACAAUCUAAGCAAAGUAUGUUUAUAUAUAAAUCAAAACAAAAUCAAUAUUUAUUUAUAUAUAAAAAGAACUAUAAUAAAAUAACAAUAAUAGAAAAGGAAAAAAUAAAUAUAAAAAAAGAUUAAAAGAAUAAAUGGUUCUUUGUGAGAAGGAGUAUUAUUGUGUGAGUGAAAGGUGAUAGUUUAUCAUUGUUGUGAGGUUGGUAUGUGUUUACUGUAACUCACUUUUUCUAUUCAAACUUCUUUUUUAUUUCUAAAUGAGAGAUAGAUAUAGAUGAAGUAUACAUGUUAAUGUGAGAAAGAAGAAACUAUGAAAAAAAAUGGAGAGAAUCUCAUUAAAUAUGAGGAAGACGUGUAAUAUGGUGGGUGGUACCAUUUUCUUUGCAUAGCAAACAAUGACUCUAUACACUAAAUCUUUGAAGGUGGUAAGCUAUUGGUGAGCUUUUAAAACGAAAGAAAGUUUUUCUCUAUUGCGCCGCUAUGUUCAUUUGUUGGAGGGUCUCUAUUGGUCUCUCCCCUAUAAGUUUCAGUAACAUAGCAUAUAUAUACACUAUUUUUUAGGGUUAUAAGUUGUAAUAAAAAACCAAAAGCGCCCUUAGUGAGUAUUAUUAGUAUAAAAUAAAAUAAAUAAAAAAACUAAAUCGAAUAAAAUUAAAUUAUUCUAAAUAAUUAAAAUUGGAUCGAAACAAAAAUAUAGAAAAUUCUAAUUAAUUAUUCAAACAUUUUGAUAAAGAAAUAAAAUGACUUUAAAUGAAUACAACUCGAGCACAAAAAUGCUCUAAAAAUAAAAUUGAAUGCCCCAAAAUGAUCAGUGCGAAAUAAACUUUUUGUAAACAUACCGUUUUUUAUCAAAUUUUGAAAUAAAAAGUGACCGAUUAAAAGACUCAGACUGUUUAAAAUGCGACUGAAAAAGUAGUCGAAAAUUAAAACGAGCAUGUCAUGUUAAACUACGUGAACCAUAGAUUAAUAAAACUGAUGCCUGCAUGCUUGCUUUUGAAAAAAAAAUUGCCCGCUGAUUUGACGCACAUUUGAAAAUUGAUUCAAUCAGUUUGCCUGUAGAUCCGAAAAUUUAUUCUAACUGGCAUUUUGGGCAUUAUGCAACAUGAAAUGCAUGUUAUGCUAUGCAGAUAAUACAAAUGUUAUUAUGAUUGUAUUGAUUUAUUGAAUAAGGGUCAAAUUUGAGGUAUGACAUGGGUAAAAAAAGUUUGUUUGUUGGUCAGUUUUAGCGAAAACUAUCUUGUAUUAAUCGACAUAAAAUAUUAUUUUACCCAAAAAUGUGAGAAGCGGAUGUUCGCACCACAUUGAAUGGAUUUACAAAUCACAUUUACGCCACUUAUCUCAACUUACCGGUUGUGGAUGAAACAAUGUUUUAUAUCAUCUUAAGACAAAAUAUCUUCGUUUUUGAAAAGGUUUCUUAGGUUGUGCCAAAAGGCAAAAAAAGUUUGAAUGAGUUUGAUAUUUUUUUGGCGAUGGCAAGAGCUUGGAUUAGCGAGAUAUUCAUCUCGAAUCCUAGUCUCAGGAGCUCGUGGGAUUCACCCCGUUCCGUUUCCAUCUUUAUUAAAAAAAGUGCUUUGAAUAUUUUUAUGUAUUUUUGAAGUUUGAUUGGGAAAAUGCAUUCGACGUUGAUCGAGGUUUGUUUAUGAUUAUGAAAAAAAUUGAAGUGGUUUUAUGAUUUGAAAAAUGAUUUGAAUGUGGUUGGUUGAUAAAUUGAGAUAGUGGGAACGGUUUGAAAAGAAAAGUUUCAAAUGGGUUGGUUUUGAGAUGAUUUUGAAAAUAGCUUAACGUUGGAUCAAGUUUUGACUUGCCUUGAAAAAUAGUUUUUAAAAUGAUUUUGGAUAAGUGAUUAGAAGUGAAUUAAAAUCGAUGGUUAAAGACGGUGGAUAUGAUUAAUAAUGUGAAGGGUGUGAAUUGGAUCGCGAAGGGGUGGAUGUUCAAGUGUAGUGACACAAACUCAAGCACAAGGCGUAAAUCAAAUGCCAUAAGAACCGAAUGUACAUACAAGCAUUCAACAAUGAUAAAAAAAAUACAAGAGCAUAUACAAUAUUUACAUCACACAUCCACAACAAAUGAUUCGGAAAAAUAAAGUGAAAAGAAAAAUGCACGGAUUAAAAUCAUGACGCAAAGACGCGAAUCAAAAUCGCGUACGCGAAGACGUGCAAAGACCAUCACAAGAAAUUAAAUUUUAUCUAAACAUAACAAAGUUGGAUUGUCAUUCUUAACACCAAUAAUAAUUUAAAAAAUUAAAAAAAAAAUAAAAUAAUUGCUAACGCAUAAGCGGUCAUUGCAAGUCGAAUUAAGAAACAAUAAUAUAAUCAAAUCAAAUGGAAGCACAAAAUUGCAAAUCGAAACGUGAAUUGGUAAGCGCACAAAAAUAACGGAUUACCGUUAUGCUAAAACCAUCGGACGCAUGUACAAAAUCGAAACACAAUGAUAAUCAAUUAAAAAUAUCGCAUAUAAACCGUUAAGUCAACCAAUAGAUUGCUAUACCUAACGUGAUCAUCGCAAUAUGAAUCAAAAUCGUGCGGAUCUAAAUAUAUUUUAAAAAAAUUAAAGCCAAAGUAAAUUUAAAUGUGCUAAGAAAAAAAAUAAUGUUGCUAACGCAAGAAUGCGAUCAUCGCAACCGGAUCGAACUAACACAAAUGACAUGCAUCAUGCACACCAAUAUGCAAACAGCGUAUCGACAUGAUUCAAUCCGAAUAACAUAACCAAAUAAUCAAAACAACAUUAUAUAUAUA
rnacentral:lncRNA from 1 species